rnacentral:rRNA from 1 species
AUUCCAGCUCCAAUAGCGUAUAUUUAAGUUGUUGCAGUUAAAAAGCUCGUAGUUGGAUCUUGGGUCGUAAGGGUCGGUCCGCCUACUCGGUGUGCACCUGCCCUUCCGUCCCUUUUGUCGGCGGCGUGCUCCUGGCCUUAAUUGGCUGGGUCGCGGUUCCGGCGCUGUUACUUUGAAAAAAUUAGAGUGCUCAAAGCAAGCUUAUGCUCUGAAUACAUUAGCAUGGAAUAACGUGAUAGGAGUCUGGUCCUAUUGUGUUGGCCUUCGGGACCGGAGUAAUGAUUAAUAGGGACUGUCGGGGGCAUUCGUAUUUCAAUGUCAGAGGUGAAAUUCUUGGAUUUAUGAAAGACGGACCACUGCGAAAGCAUUUGCCAAGGAUGUUUUCAUUA